rnacentral:rRNA from 1 species
AGAGAGAGACAUGCGCGCAUAUCAAUAAGCGGAGGAAAAGAAACUAACAAGGAUUCCCUUAGUAACGGCGAGUGAAGCGGGAAGAGCUCAAAUUUGGAAUCUUCAAGGUUUUACCUUGACGAAUUGUAGGUUUAAAGAAGUGUUUUCUGCUGAAGUUUUGGUAAAAGUUCUUUGGAAUAGGACAUCAUAGAGGGUGAGAAUCCCGUAUUUGACCAUUAUUUUCAGCUUUGUGAUACACUUUCAAAGAGUCGGAUUGUUUGGGAAUGCAGUCCAAAAUGGGUGGUAAAUUUCAUCUAAAGCUAAAUAUUGGCGAGAGACCGAUAGCGAACAAGUACCGUGAGGGAAAGAUGAAAAGAACUUUGAAAAGAGAGUUAAACAGUACGUGAAAUUGUCAAAAGGGAAGCGUUUGACACCAGUGUUGUUUUCUCGAAAAUCAAUUAAAAAUGGCUCGAUUUUGUAUUGUUGAGACCUUAAAAGCUCACUGUACAUUUUUCGUGUCUUUUUUAAUGCACUUUUCGUUUAACAAGUCAACAUCAGUUUCUUUUGUUGUAAAAGGGUCAUUGGAAGGUGGCUUUCUUUUCGGAGAAAGUGUUUAUAGCCUUUGGCCUCUGCAAUCGAAGAGACUGAGGUCUGCAGCGUAGACUCUUCGGGGUUAGAUACAUUUGUGCUAAGUUAUAGCUUUUUAUAGACAACUUGUUGACUAUAAUUAGUCUUGUAGCUUACUCGCUUAUGCUAUUUUACCUACGCUUAGGAUGUUGAAGUCAUCGUAUCGCGC